AGUGAACGCUGGCGGUAGGCCUAACACAUGCAAGUCGAACGGCAGCACAGUAAUAGCUUGCUCUUACGGGUGGCGAGUGGCGUACGGGUGAGGAAUACAUCGUACUCUACUUUUUCGUGGGGGAUAACGUAGGGAAACUUACGCUAAUACCGCAUACGACCUACGGUUGAAAGCAUGGGAUCUUCUGACCUUGCGCGAUUGAAUGCGCCGAUGUCGGAUUAGCUAGUUGGCGGGGUAAAGGCCCACCAAGGCGACGAUCCGUAGCUGGUCUGAGAGGAUGAUCAGCCACACUGGAACUGAGACACGGUCCAGACUCCUAAGGGAGGCAGCAGUGGGGAAUAUUGGACAAUGGGCGCAAGCAUGAUCCAGCCAUACCGAGUGGGUGAAGAAGGCCUUCGGGUUGUAAAGCCCUUUUGUUGGGAAAGAAAAGCAGCAGGUUAAUACCCCGCUGUUCUGACGGUACCCAAAGAAUAAGCACCGGCUAACUUCGUG
rnacentral:rRNA from 1 species